GCCUGAGUAGCUCAGUUGGUAGAGCAAUGCAUUCGUAAUGCGGAGGUCGUCGGUUCAAGUCCGGCUUCAGGCACCA
rnacentral:tRNA from 2 species